GAUGAAGAACGUAGCGAAAUGCGAUAAGUAAUGUGAAUUGCAGAAUUCAGUGAAUCAUCGAAUCUUUGAACGCACAUUGCGCCCCUUGGUAUUCCGAGGGGCAUGCCUGUUCGAGCGUCAUUAUGACCACUCAAGCCUCGGCUUGGUAUUGGGGUUCCGCGGUCUCGCGGCCCUUAAAAUCAGUGGCGGUGCCUGUCGGCUCUACGCGUAGUAAUACUCCUCGCGAUUGAGUCCGGUAGGUCUACUUGCCAGCAACCCCCAAUUUUUACAGGUUGACCUCGGAUCAGGUAGGGAUACCCGCUGAACUUAAGCAUAUCAAUAAGCGGAGGA
rnacentral:misc_RNA from 1 species